CGCGAAGAACCUUACCUACUCUUGACAUCCAGAGAAKCCAGCGGAGACGCAGGUGUGCCUUCGGGAGCUCUGAGACAGGUGCUGCAUGGCUGUCGUCAGCUCGUGUUGUGAAAUGUUGGGUUAAGUCCCGCAACGAGCGCAACCCUUAUCCUUGUUUGCCAGCACGUAAUGGUGGGAACUCCAGGGAGACUGCCGGUGAUAAACCGGAGGAAGGUGGGGACGACGUCAAGUCAUCAUGGCCCUUACGAGUAGGGCUACACACGUGCUACAAUGGCGCAUACAGAGGGCGGCCAACUUGCGAAAGUGAGCGAAUCCCAAAAAGUKMGUMGUAGUCCGGAUUGGAGUCUGCAACUCGACUCCAUGAAGUCGGAWUC
rnacentral:rRNA from 1 species